GGAUGUGAGGAAUGCUGAGUGCGCAAGCAUACGGCUCUCUUCAAAACGACUUGCAAACCCUCUCCCUCGAGUACUAUGUAUUCAUACACCACAUAGUAUGUUGUAGAAUGUGAUCAAUGGGCCUCUGUGCCUAUAAUAAUCAUAUACAACUUUCAGCAACGGAUCUCUUGGCUCUCGCAUCGAUGAAGAACGCAGCGAAAUGCGAUAAGUAAUGUGAAUUGCAGAAUUCAGUGAAUCAUCGAAUCUUUGAACGCACCUUGCGCUCCUUGGUAUUCCGAGGAGCAUGCCUGUUUGAGUGUCAUUAAAUUCUCAACCCCUCCAGCUUUUGCGAGCUGUGACGGGGCUUGGAUGUUGGGGGUUUGCGGGCCUGUAGAGGUCGGCUCUCCUGAAAUGCAUUAGCGGAACCGUUUGCAGUCCCGUCACUAGUGUGAUAAUUAUCUACACUGUGAUGAUUGCUCUCUGGCUAGUUCAGCUACUAACUGUCCACUGUUGGACAACACUUAAUGAACUUCUUGACCUCAAAUCAGGUAGGACUACCCGCUGAACUUAAGCAUAUCAAUAAGCGGAGGA
rnacentral:rRNA from 1 species